CACUCCUGUGAUUCUACAUCAGACAGAUGGUAGCAAGACAUCUGGAGCUUAUCUGCGGGUGCCGAAUUGUCCCUAACCAACAAGGGAAAGGGGCUGUGGCUGGCUUCAACCCCAGUGGCUCUGGAACAAACACCUGCCGCCAGUGACUGGUGCCCUGAAUAAGAACACAUCAGGAGUCUAUGCUUUGCCUCUGCUCCUCCUAACACCUCAAAAGGAAUAGGAUGAGAAGACCCUCCUCUCUGGAAGACUACACAACACACUCACCCUGCCACCUCCAGGAGGAAGAGACCCAGUGAUGUAGGAAUAAAAGCUUCCUCUCAGGCA
rnacentral:lncRNA from 1 species